rnacentral:rRNA from 1 species
UGGGGAAUUUUGGACAAUGGGCGCAAGCCUGAUCCAGCCAUGCCGCGUGCGGGAAGAAGGCCUUCGGGUUGUAAACCGCUUUUGUCAGGGAAGAAACGAGUUUCUCUAAUACAGAGACUUAAUGACGGUACCUGAAGAAUAAGCACCGGCUAACUACGUGCCAGCAGCCGCGGUAAUACGUAGGGUGCAAGCGUUAAUCGGAAUUACUGGGCGUAAAGCGUGCGCAGGCGGUUAUGCAAGACAGAUGUGAAAUCCCCGGGCUCAACCUGGGACCUGCAUUUGUGACUGUAUAGCUAGAGUACGGUAGAGGGGGAUGGAAUUCCGUGUGUAGCAGUGAAAUGCGUAGAUAUGCGGAGGAACACCGAUGGCGAAGGCAAUCCCCUGGACCUGUACUGACGCUCAUGCACGAAAGCGUGGGGAGCAAACA